ACGGGCUCUUCGGAGCUAGUGGCGGACGGGUGAGUAACGCGUGAGGAUCUGCCUACAGGACUGGGACAACAGCUGGAAACGGCUGCUAAAACCGGAUGUGCCGAGAGGUGAAAUAUUUAUAGCCUGUAGAUGAGCUCGCGUCUGAUUAGCUAGUUGGUGAGGUAAGGGCUCACCAAGGCGACGAUCAGUAGCUGGUCUGAGAGGACGAUCAGCCACACUGGGACUGAGACACGGCCCAGACUCCUACGGGAGGCAGCAGUGGGGAAUUUUCCGCAAUGGGCGCAAGCCUGACGGAGCAAUACCGCGUGAGGGAGGAAGGUCUGUGGAUUGUAAACCUCUUUUGAUAGGGAAGAAGUUCUGACGGUACCUAUCGAAUCAGCAUCGGCUAACUCCGUGCCAGCAGCCGCGGUAAUACGGAGGAUGCAAGCGUUAUCCGGAUUUAUUGGGCGUAAAGCGUCCGUAGGUGGUUAUUCAAGUCUAUUGUCAAAGCCUGGGGCUUAACCCUGGAGAGGCGGUGGAAACUGAAUAACUAGAGUGCGGUAGGGGCAGAGGGAAUUCCCAGUGUAGCGGUGAAAUGCGUAGAUAUUGGGAAGAACACCGGUGGCGAAAGCGCUCUGCUG
rnacentral:rRNA from 1 species